rnacentral:rRNA from 1 species
UACAGGGGGUGCAAACGUUGCUCGGAAUUAUUGGGCGUAAAGCGCGCGUAGGCGGCUACCUAAGUCGGAUGUGAAAGCCCCUGGCUUAACUGGGGAACUGCGUCCGAUACUGGAUGGCUUGGAUUUGGGAGAGGGAUGCGGAAUUCCAGGUGUAGCGGUGAAAUGCGUAGAUAUCUGGAGGAACACCGGUGGCGAAGGCGGCAUCCUGGACCAAUAUUGACGCUGAGGAGCGAAAGCUAGGGGAGCAAACGGG